rnacentral:rRNA from 1 species
CAGGGAUUGCCCCAGUAACGGCGAGUGAAGCGGCAACAGCUCAAAUUUGAAAUCUGGCCCCUCGGGCCCGAGUUGUAAUUUGCAGAGGAUGCUUCUGGCGAGGCGCCGCCCGAGUUCCCUGGAACGGGACGCCGCAGAGGGUGAGAGCCCCGUCUGGCUGGCCGCCGAGCCUCUGUGAAGCUCCUUCGACGAGUCGAGUAGUUUGGGAAUGCUGCUCAAAAUGGGAGGUAUAUGUCUUCUAAAGCUAAAUAUUGGCCAGAGACCGAUAGCGCACAAGUAGAGUGAUCGAAAGAUGAAAAGCACUUUGAAAAGAGGGUUAAACAGUACGUGAAAUUGUUGAAAGGGAAGCGCUCGCGACCAGACUCGGGCGUGGCGGAUCAUCCGGCGUUCUCGCCGGUGCACUGCGCCGCGCCCGGGCCAGCAUCAGCUCGCGCCGGGGGAUAAAGGCGUCGGGAAUGUGGCUCCCCAGGGAGUGUUAUAGCCCGGCGCGCAAUGCCCUGGCGCGGGCUGAGGACCGCGCAUCUGCAAGGAUGCUGGCGUAAUGGUC